AUAUCCCUACAAAAUGAACAACGCACUCUUUCUUUUAUUCCCUCAUAAAUUCCCCCAAACCGAGGAAAAUAUUCCACCAUCCCUUCCUCUAUUUCCAUUUUUCUCUCUCUCCUGGAAAUUCCUUCUCUUCUUUCACACAUCAAAGUUUGCCCAUGCUAGUCUCCCUAGUUUGCCCUUCAAAGUUUGAACCAGAGGUGGGGAUUCCAGUUAUGAGGUCUCUGCAAACUUACCUGAAAGAUUGACAAUAUUCCUUGUGAUCCAGUAAUUCCCAGCUAAAUGGUGUCCAAGAUGAACUCUGCAGACUUUGUAGAGUUGUCUAAUGAUGACAAGAUUGGUGAGUCAAGUGGAACAGAUAG